UUCUGGAGAGGAAAACAAGUCUAAACUUACUUUCCAGUUGGAAAUGGAAUGGAGAGUUAACGUUGGAAGCCGGGAGAGUCUGUCCUGUGAUGAAGCGGUCUCCGAGCCACUUCCACUGGGACGUCACGUCACUGUCUGGGCCCCUUGCACAGCCUGUGCACAGCAUUCCUAGGAGAGAAUUCAGCAGUGCAGCAUCCUCUCCGAGCUCUAUGAGUUGAUCGGCUUCCACUGCAAGUCCGUCUUCUUCAAGCGGGUGGCCCCGGUGCAGCGCGCGGCCCCCGGCAUCCCGGAGCCUGGCGGGAAGGCCUGCUCCCGACUCCUUCUGCAGACGCUUCCUGGCUGCAGUCUGUCGCUGUUUCCGCAGGACUUCAGCAAAGGUGUUGGAACUAAAACAUCGCAUCAGUCCCAUUAACCAUGCCUGGUUUGGGCCCUGCUGUCCUGUCUCAUCAGGGUGAAUUCUGAUUCGUUUAGAACAGGGCUCAGCAGACUUUUUCUGUCAAGGGCUUGGGAGUAAAUAUUUCAGGGUCUGCAAACCUCCUGAUCUCUGGUGCAGCUGCUCAGCUCUGCUGUUCAGACGCCAAAGCAGCCGGACAGUCCACACACCCUCAGAGCUUUAUUAACAGUGGUGGCUGGGGCUGGAUUCGGUGUAUGAACAGCAGCUGGUCCCCACAGCCUGCUCACUAUUGACUCCUGCACCAGAGCGUGCAUUUGCGACAAUGGGUGAACCUACACUGACACGUCAUCAUCACCCAGAGCCCAUACUUGACACUAGGAUUUACACUUGGUGGUGUGCACUCUGUGGGUUUGGACAGAUGUACAAUGACACGUAUCCACCAUCACAGCAUCAUACAGAGUAGUCUGUGCUAGUGACCCUAAAAAUGCUCCGUGCUGCACCUCAUUAACUGCUCCUUCCCCUCUAGACUCUUACAACCACUGAUCUUUUAGUCUCUGUGGUUUUCCCUUUCCCAGAACACCAUACAGUUGGAAUCAGACAGUUGCAGAACUUUCCCAGAUUGGCUUCUUUCACUUAGUAAUAUGCAUUUAAGGUUCCUCCAUGUCUUUCCAUGCCUUGAUAACUCAUUUCAUUUUAGCACCAAAUAAUAGUCCAUUUUCUGGCUGGACCACAGUUUAUCCAUUCACCUACUGAAGAACAGCUUAGUUGCUUUUGAGUUCUGGUGAUUAUGAAUAAAGCUGCUAUUAACAUCUGUAUGCAGUUUUGUGUGUGGACAUAAGUUUCCAUUUCGUCGAGUAAACACCAAGGAGCACAGUUGCCGGAUCAUAUGUUAGAAGUACGUCUAGUUUUGUAAAAAACUGCCAGACUGUCUUCCAAAGUAUCUGGGCCAUUUUACAUUCCCACCAGCAAUGCAUGAGAAUUCCUGACGCUCCACAUCCUCACCAGCAUUCGGUGCUGUAAGUGUUCUGCGUUUUGGCAGUUCUGACAGGUGUGCAGUGGUACCUCGCUGUUUCAGUCUGCAGCCCCUUGAUGAUAGAUGCUGUGGAGCAUGUUUCCAUAGACUUCUUUGGCAUCUAGAUCUCUUCUUUGAUGAGGUGUGUGUUCAGGCAUUUUGCUCAUUUUUUAAUCAGGUUAUUCAUCCUUCUUGUUGAGCUUAAAGAAAUUUUGGUAUAUUCUGGAUAUCAGCCCUUUAUCAGUGUGUCCCUGCCCUUCACCUGCAGCACCAGAGUUGUCCUUUGGGUCUCAGUGGAGUGUCAGCUCUUCAAAGAGGUUCCCAGUCUUCCCUCAGCCUAAAUACUGUCCUUGUAUUUUUCACUUUCAUUGACUCAUUUUGUUCUUUUUAAAUAGCAUUUCCCAUAAUUUGUAAGUACAUUAAAAAAAGGGCAAUGAUUGAACACCGCCUCCCCCACCAGGCUGUGUGUCCUGUGAGAGCAGAGGCCCUGUCACCACUCAUCGUUUCCCAUGACAGCACAUGGCACAUGUCCAUGUAAAAGUGCAUAAUGUGGGGCCAAACCUGAUGAGCAGCUAUGACGACAUGUGUUGGCUACCAUUUAUUGAGUAGACUUUGUUUCUGAUCUUAAUUAUUAAAUCACAUGAAUGAAACUUGUUUGUUUUGAAAAAUAAAACAACAAAGCACACCUCCGUUUGAUUGGUACUUUCUACUUAGCCUUCUGACCCAGGAGGGGAUGUUCACCAUCAUUUUGUGGAGGAGGUUGGGGAGGUAAAGUAAGAGAGUGAGAUCAAAUAAAGUAAAAAUGAUAACUAUCAGUUGGCUUUAUUUUCACUAAGACAUAAAAGUUACUUUAAACCCUA